AGACAGGUGUAAGAGAACCCCUUUAACUCAUACCUCAGAGAAAUAGAGUAAUUAGUGUCUUAU
rnacentral:tRNA from 1 species